rnacentral:rRNA from 1 species
AGAGUUUGAUCCUGGCUCAGGAUGAACGCUAGCGGCAGGCUUAACACAUGCAAGUCGAGGGGUAUUAGGAGCUUGCUCCUAAGAGACCGGCGCACGGGUGCGUAACGCGUAUGCAAUCUACCUUUUACAGAGGGAUAGCCCAGAGAAAUUUGGAUUAAUACCUCAUAGUAUAAUGACUCGGCAUCGAGAUAUUAUUAAAGUCACAACGGUAAAAGAUGAGCAUGCGUCCCAUUAGCUAGUUGGUGUGGUAACGGCACACCAAGGCAACGAUGGGUAGGGGUCCUGAGAGGGAGAUCCCCCACACUGGUACUGAGACACGGACCAGACUCCUACGGGAGGCAGCAGUGAGGAAUAUUGGUCAAUGGGCGCAAGCCUGAACCAGCCAUGCCGCGUGCAGGAUGACGGUCCUAUGGAUUGUAAACUGCUUUUGUACAGGAAGAAACACUCCCUCGUGAGGGAGCUUGACGGUACUGUAAGAAUAAGGAUCGGCUAACUCCGUGCCAGCAGCCGCGGUAAUACGGAGGAUCCAAGCGUUAUCCGGAAUCAUUGGGUUUAAAGGGUCCGUAGGCGGGUUAAUAAGUCAGUGGUGAAAGCCCAUCGCUCAACGAUGGAACGGCCAUUGAUACUGUUAGUCUUGAAUUAUUAGGAAGUAACUAGAAUAUGUAGUGUAGCGGUGAAAUGCUUAGAGAUUACAUGGAAUACCAAUUGCGAAGGCAGGUUACUACUAAUGGAUUGACGCUGAUGGACGAAAGCGUGGGUAGCGAACAGGAUUAGAUACCCUGGUAGUCCACGCCGUAAACGAUGGAUACUAGCUGUUCGGAGCAAUCUGAGUGGCUAAGCGAAAGUGAUAAGUAUCCCACCUGGGGAGUACGUUCGCAAGAAUGAAACUCAAAGGAAUUGACGG